UUGUCCUACGGGGGGCAGCAGUGGGGAAUAUUGCGCAAUGGGCGAAAGCCUGACGCAGCGACGCCGCGUGAGGGAUGAAGGUCUUCGGAUCGUAAACCUCUGUCAGCAGGGAAGAACGGUCACUGUGCUAAUCAGCAGUGAAUUGACGGUACCUGCAAAGGAAGCACCGGCUAACUCCGUGCCAGCAGCCGCGGUAAUACGGAGGAUGCGAGCGUUAUCCGGAUUUAUUGGGUUUAAAGGGGGCGCAGGCGGCACGGCAAGCCGGCGGUCAAAUCGCGGGGCUCAACCCCGGC
rnacentral:rRNA from 1 species